rnacentral:rRNA from 1 species
AAUGAACGCUGGCGGCAGGCCUAACACAUGCAAGUCGAGCGAAGUCUUCGGACUUAGCGGCGGACGGGUGAGUAACGCGUGGGAACAUGCCCUUUGGUGCGGAAUAGCCCCGGGAAAGUGGUAGUAAUACCGCAUGUGCCCUUCGGGGGAAAGAUUUAUCGCCAAAGGAUUGGCCCGCGUUGGAUUAGGUAGUUGGUGGGGUAAUGGCCUACCAAGCCGACGAUCCAUAGCUGGUUUGAGAGGAUGAUCAGCCACACUGGGACUGAGACACGGCCCAGACUCCUACGGGAGGCAGCAGUGGGGAAUCUUGGACAAUGGGCGCAAGCCUGAUCUAGCCAUGCCGCGUGAUCGAUGAAGGCCUUAGGGUUGUAAAGCUCUUUCAGCGGGGAAGAUAAUGACGGUACCCACAGAAUAAGCCCCGGCUAACUCCGUG